rnacentral:rRNA from 1 species
AUUGAACGCUGGCGGCAGGCCUAACACAUGCAAGUCGAACGAGUGGCGGACGGGUGAGUAAUGUCUGGGAAACUGCCUGAUGGAGGGGGAUAACUCCUGGAAACGGCAGCUAAUACCGCAUACCAUCAUCUGUGCCCUGAGGGGAUUAGCUAGUUGGUGGGGUAACGGCUCACCAAGCAGACGAGCCCUAGCUGGUCUGCGAGGAGGACCAGACACACUGGAACUGAGACACGGUCCAGACGCGUACGUGAGGCAGCAGUGGGGAAGAUUGCACAAUGGGCGCAAGCCUGAUGCAGCCAUGCCGCGUGUAUGAAGAAGGCCUUCGGGUUGUAAAGUACUUUCAGCGGGGAGGCGUUACCCGCAGAAGAAGCACCGGCUAACUCCGUGCCAGCCGCCGCGGUAAUAC